rnacentral:misc_RNA from 1 species
UCUGGUGCGGCCAACCGACAUGGGGCUGUCUCUUCACUCUCCCUCCCGUCAUUUGAUUUGUCGGGGCUGGGAUGCUUGUGAUCGGUUGCCUGUGCGGCUCUACCCUGCUGUGGGUAGCGAAGUUGUCCCUCGAUUGAUAUUUGCUUGCCUCUCUGACAUUUUUUUGUCGUUUUGGCAGCCGAAAUGAUGGCGAAAUCCCUGUGGAGGUGCGUGGUCAAAUGGCCCCGUUGCUCUCACUCGGAAUUUUGCCGGCUCUCACGGAUGCGUGCCCAGUGCCGGCUCUGCGUGGCUUUGCCCCGCGGACUACGGGAGGUCCCCUGUACGAAUCACUGCGAUCAGAUGCCGUUUGUCGUGUUGCUUGUUUGGCACGCAAAUCGUAUUGUUCUGUCCGGAGUCGGGAUGACGAAAGUCAGAAUGAAGUGUCUGGGGCGUGCUCGCGUACACGGGGAAUGCCUCUCCGAUCGUACGAGCAGCGAUUUCCGGCCCGCGUCCUGCGAAGGCCCGCCCGUCCGGGUCGGUGCCGGAGCUG